GACGAACGCUGGCGGCGCGCCUAACACAUGCAAGUCGAACGGAGUCUAUGAAACGAUCGCUUCGGUGAAAGUUUUGUAGUACUUAGUGGCGGACGGGUGAGUAACACGUGAGCAACCUACCCUGGAGUGGGGAAUAACAUUCGGAAACGGAUGCUAAUACCGCAUGAAGUCAGAUAAAGGCAUCUUUAUUUGACCAAAGAUUUAUCGCUCUGGGAUGGGCUCGCGCCUGAUUAGAUAGUUGGUGAGGUAAUGGCUCACCAAGUCAACGAUCAGUAGCCGGACUGAGAGGUUGAACGGCCACAUUGGGACUGAGACACGGCCCAGACUCCUACGGGAGGCAGCAGUGGGGGAUAUUGCACAAUGGGGGAAACCCUGAUGCAGCGACGCCGCGUGAACGAAGACGGUCUUCGGAUUGUAAAGUUCUGUCAACGGGGACGAUAAUGACGGUACCCGUGGAGGAAGCCACGGCUAACUACGUGCCAGCAGCAGCCGCCGUAA
rnacentral:rRNA from 1 species